GCUGCGGUGGUGUAAUGGUCAGCAUAUCUGCCUAGUAAGCAAGAAGACCCAGGUUCAAGUCCUGGCUGCAGCA
rnacentral:tRNA from 1 species